GAGGAAUAUUGGACAAUCAACGAAAGUUGGAUCCAGCAACGCCGCGUGGAUGAUGAAGGCCUUCGGGUUGUAAAAUCCUUUAAGAAGGAAGAGAACGGACGGUACCUCUUGAAUAAGUCUCGGCUAACUACGU
rnacentral:rRNA from 1 species